rnacentral:rRNA from 1 species
UCACAUCCGAGGCCUUGUAAUUGGAAUGAGUACACUUUAAAUCCUUUAACAAGGAUCAAUUGGAGGGCAAGUCUGGUGCCAGCAGCCGCGGUAAUUCCAGCUCCAAUAGCGUAUAUUAAAGUUGUUGCGGUUAAAACGUUCGUAGUUGAACUUGUGUUUCGCACGGGCCGCUACCAAACGCCAGUUUACUGGUCUGGUAACUGGUCUUAUCUUGCCUUGGUUUUUAUCUCGGUAAAAGUGCGUGGACGUAUUAUCGGCGUGUUCGCUCUCGUAGCGUUCACAUAAGCUCAUUUCUGUGAUCUUAACCGAUUGUAGUUGUGAGCCGAUACAAAUUACUUUGAACAAAUUAGAGUGCUUAAAGCAGGCUUGUAAUGCCUGAAUAUUUUGUGCAUGGAAUAAUGAAAUAGGACAUCUGUUCUACUUUCAUUGGUUUUUUAGACCAAGAUGUAAUGAUUAAUGGAAGCAGUUGGGGGCAUUAGUAUUACAACGCGAGAGGUGAAAUUCUUAGACCGUUGUAAGACUGACUAAAGCGAAAGCAUUUGCCAAAGAUGUUUUCAUUUAAUCAAGAACGAAAGUUAGAGGUUCGAAGGCGAUCAGAUACCGCCCUAGUUCUAACCAUAAACGAUGCCAGCUAGCAAUUGAGUGUAGCUACUACUAUGGCUCUUUCAGUCGCUUCUCGGGAAACCAAAGCUUUUGGGCUCCGGGGGAAGUAUGGUUGCAAAGCUGAAACUUAAAGGAAUUGACGGAAGGGCACCACCAGGAGUGGAGCCUGCGGCUUAAUUUGACUCAACACGGGAAAACUUACCAGGUCCGAACAUAAAUGAGUAAGACAGAUUG